GCGUCAUCCAUCUACAAGGAAGAGGGGAGAUAGAGAGGGGAGGUGCAUUGUGCAGAUAAAAUUAUUAUUAUUUUUUUUUAGAUCAGCGUGUGUUUUCUCCCAGGCUGCUAUAAAUAAAGGUUAUGAUGCAGUUCAUGCUGCUUUUCAGUCGCCAGGGGAAGCUGAGGCUCCAGAAGUGGUAUGUUCCACUGUCGGACAAAGAGAAGAAAAAGAUCACCAGGGAACUCGUGCAGACAGUAUUGGCUCGGAAACCCAAAAUGUGCAGCUUCCUGGAGUGGCGCGACCUCAAGAUUGUUUACAAAAGGUACGCUAGCUUGUACUUCUGCUGUGCAAUUGAAGAUCAGGAUAAUGAGCUCAUAACUCUUGAGAUAAUUCACCGAUACGUAGAGCUGCUGGAUAAGUAUUUUGGCAGUGUGUGUGAACUUGACAUAAUCUUUAACUUCGAAAAGGCAUACUUCAUCCUAGAUGAGUUCCUGCUGGGUGGUGAAGCUCAGGAGACCUCGAAGAAAAACGUCUUGAAAGCCAUCGAGCAGGCAGACCUGUUGCAGGAGAGCCAGAAUGAAGACUGGGGAGGUUUAUCAACUGACGAUGUCUUAUAACUGGGAGAGAUCUGAGGCUUUGACCUCUUAUGCUCCCCAUCCCCCAUCCAGACUAUUGGAUGCUAAAGAAACUGAGACCCAACGCAGUGUUCUUGAAGAGAUUGGACUGACAUAACCCUGCACUUCCAUCCCAACACACUCUUUGUUUACUGCCUUUGUUUCCAUGUAACGCUAGCUGUAUUAUGGUUGUCAGUAUUAACAUCCAUCUCGCCCACUACUGUUAUUUCUUAUGUAGUAUACAUGAGAUUGUAUUUCCCCACAAGAUUAUUAUGAGGAAGAAAGCGAUUACCAGAAGAUCAAAAAUGGUUCAACAUCUAUUUUUCAGAUUUUUAAUUUUUUUUUUAAAUACUGCCUUAAGAUAGUUGAAUAGGAUUAGAUGGGUUUUUUAUGUUUAAUAUGUGUCUGUCGUUAUUUUGAGUAUAGUGUGAUUGCACCUUAAGAACAGAAUAACUGACUGCACUUAAUUUCUAAGGGUCACUGUAAUUCAGGAUAAGAAGGGCUACGUGUUCUUGAUUUCAGCAGCUUUUUAAAAUUAAAUACACAUAUACUUUCAGUUGUUUAGUAUUGUGCUUUUCACUUGUAGGCUUUCUUAAAGGAAAUGGAUUCAAGGUUUUCAAAAUUAAAAAUGCUGUUUUAGGACCACCAUCAGUUUUCAAAUGUAUUGGUACUAUAUUGGUUAGUGUAGGAGAAAACAGGUAUUUCAGGGCAUGUUAAGGGUUUACAACCAACAAACACUGUGCUAGUAUUUAAUUAUUAUUAUUAUGCAUUUGUUUUUUAGAACUGUAAUACGAAAAUAAA